rnacentral:pre_miRNA from 1 species
GCCACCGCUUGCACCUGCUGCUGGCGCCCAGUGCCGGCCCCCAUCACUUGGUGCCGUCAGCGGGUGCGAGCAGUGGCUG